rnacentral:lncRNA from 1 species
CCUAAGGUUUUACGUUACCCAUGGGAGAAAACUCAACCUUAUAUAACAACUAGUCCACCAUGUGAGAAAAGCUUCCACUUGCUAGAGAGGGGUUAGCCCUAUAAUAAGCAAGGAAGACUUACAAUUCAUCUACUAAGGACAAAUAGGUGAGAUUAAUAUCAACCAACUAGGGUAAAUCAAACCUAUAGCUAAUGUAUCAAAACUUAACAAACAUGGACAAAGCCACAAAAUC